AAGUCGUAACAACAUUAACACGUAUCCAACGUUAAAACAACCCUGUGAACCUUCAAUCUUGCUCGCGUGGCUCCAUGAAAGCAGCAAUCCCUGGUAAAUCAUUGUCGACCAGAUUUUUGAGUCAGGGACCUCUGCCGAUGAGAGUUACGCUCGUAGCGAUGCAAGCGACCUCCCAAGCAAGCGUCUUUGAUUGUGUAAGGGUGGCGCAAACACGAUCGUUGGAGGCCGACACGGCCGCCCGGGUCCCUGGGUCACCAUGCCCCUUAAUCACCACACUGUAACGCCGACAGGUCGCAAUAAUUCCGCUGACCACAAAAAACCGAACAACUGUUAACAAUGGAUAUCUUGGUUCUC
rnacentral:misc_RNA from 1 species